rnacentral:rRNA from 1 species
GACGAACGCUGGCGGCGUGCUUAACACAUGCAAGUCGAACGGAAAGGCCCUGCUUUUGUGGGGUGCUCGAGUGGCGAACGGGUGAGUAACACGUGAGUAACCUCCCCUUGACUUUGGGAUAACUUCAGGAAAAUGGGGCGCAUACCGGAUAGGAUCUCCUGCUGCACGGGGGGGGUUGGAAAGUUUCGGCGGUUGGGGCUGGUCUCGCGGGUUAUCGGCUUGUUGGUGGGGUAGUGGCUGACCAAGGCUUUGAGGGGUAGCCGGCCUGAGAGCGUGACCGGCCACCAUGGGACUGCGAUACGGCCCAGACUCCUACGGGCGGCAGUAGUCGGGAAUAUUGCAGAAUGGGCCGAAGCCUGAUGCAGCAACGCCGCGUGCGGGAUGACGGCCUUCGGGUUGUAAACAGCUGUCGCAGGUGACGAAGAGUGAGUGACGGUAAUGGGUAAAGAAGCACCGGCUAACUACGUG